rnacentral:rRNA from 1 species
GACGAACGCUGGCGGCGUGCUUAACACAUGCAAGUCGAACGGAAAGGCCUGCAGCUUGCUGCGGGUACUCGAGUGGCGAACGGGUGAGUAACACGUGGGUGAUCUGCCUUGCACUUCGGGAUAAGCUUGGGAAACUGGGUCUAAUACCGGAUAGGACAGCUGUUUAGUGUCAGUUGUGGAAAGUUUUUUCGGUUCAAGAUGAGCUCGCGGCCUAUCAGCUUGUUGGUGGGGUAAUGGCCUACCAUGGCGUCGACGGGUAGCCGGCCUGAGAGGGUGUACGGCCACAUUGGGACUGAGAUACGGCCCAGACUCCUACGGGAGGCAGCAGUGGGGAAUAUUGCACAAUGGGCGGAAGCCUUAUGCAGCGACGCCGCGUGGGGGAUGAAGGGCUUCGGGUUGUAAACUCCUUUCGACAGGGACGAAGCUUUUGUGACGGUACCUGUAUAAGAAGCACCGGCUAACUACGUG